rnacentral:rRNA from 1 species
GAUGAACGCUGGCGGCGUGCCUAAUACAUGCAAGUCGAGCGCAGGAAACUGACGGAACUCUUCGGAGGGAAGACAGUGGAAUGAGCGGCGGACGGGUGAGUAACACGUAAGGAACCUGCCUCAAGGAUUGGGAUAACUCCGAGAAAUCGGAGCUAAUACCGGAUAGUUCAACGGACCGCAUGGUCCGCUGACGAAAGGCGCUCCGGCGUCACCUUGAGAUGGCCUUGCGGUGCAUUAGCUAGUUGGUGGGGUAAUGGCCCACCAAGGCGACGAUGCAGAGCCGACCUGGGAGGGUGAUCGGCCACACUGGGACUGAGACACGGCCCAGACUCCUACGGGAGGCAGCAGUAGGGAAUCUUCCACAAUGGACGAAAGUCUGAUGGAGCAACGCCGCGUGAGUGAUGAAGGUUUUCGGAUCGUAAAACUCUGUUGUAAGGGAAGAACACGUACGAGAGGGAAUGCUCGUACCUUGACGGUACCUUACGAGAAAGCCACGGCUAACUACGUGCCAGCAGCCGCGGUAAUAC